UACGUAGGGGGCAAGCGUUGUCCGGAAUUAUUGGGCGGAAAGAGCGUGUAGGCGGUCCGGUAAGUCAGCUGUGAAAGUCAAGGGCUCAACCCUUGAAUGCCGGUUGAUACUGUCGGGCUAGAGUCCGGAAGAGGCGAGUGGAAUUCCCGGUGUAGCGGUGAAAUGCGCAGAUAUCGGGAGGAACACCAAUGGCGAAGGCAGCUCGCUGGGACGGUACUGACGCUGAGACGCGAAAGCGUGGGGAGCAAACAGG
rnacentral:rRNA from 1 species